AAGGACUGGCAGCUUUCACUUUCAGUCUUUUUUUGAAACCAGCUGCCACAUAAGAACUUCAACUUUCCUGAGACCAACAGGCUGUAAAGAAGCAAGCGCCCAUGUAGAAAGGCCUGGUGGAAUAGCUCUGCAUUUCACAAUCCAAAAACAGUAAUGCCCUUUGAAGAAAUACAGCUCCCAGUAACAGCACAGAGUCUGCUAGACUGUCCUGUCAACGUCAGUGGGGUCUUCUGGAAAAUCUGUAUGCACAUAUAAAAUUUAGAAUCGGUGCCUGAAUCCUACAGCCAGUUCUUGGCUCCAGACAGCACUUGGAGAAGGGAACACAGCUGCAAAGGGGAAGAUAAACAAAAGAACCUCUUGGCUACCAGUCUAGCUAUAGCCCAUUGCUCUCAACUACCAUCCACUGGAUCGCAGCCGAAAUUACACAAAAAGCAGGGCUAAUUUGCCCCUCUGAGAAACCAGGAGCAAGAAUUCAACAAGGAAGACCCUGAACAGAGCCUUUGCUCUCUGAAAACUUCUAGAAAUGAAGCCAACUGACUAUACUCAAUUUAUACCACAAUCUAAGGUACACAAGCCAUCCCAGAUAAGAAAGAAUCAGCACAAAAACUCUGGCAACUCAAAAAGCUAGAACGUCCCUUUACCUCUGACAGAGCUCAGUAGCUCCCCAAACAAUGCUUUUUUAACUAGUCUGAAUUGUCUGAAAUGACAGACAUGGAAUUCAGAAUCUGGAUGGCAAAAAGCCCAUUGAGAUGAAGGAGAAAGUUGAAACUCAAUCUAAGGAAGCCAAGCAAUUCUGUACAGUUAUUCAAAGCUGAAAGACAAAACACUCAUUUUAAGAAAGACUCAAAUUGAACUUUUGAGGUAAAAUAUUCACUACAAAAAUUUCAUAAUACAAUCAGAAAUAUUAACAACAGAAUAGAACAAGCUGAGAAAAGAAUCGCAGAGCUCAAAGACCAAUUUUUCAAUGCAACAUAGUCAGACAAAAAAAAAGAAUUAAGAAACAUUAGCAAAACCUCCAAGAAAUAUGGGAUUACAUAAAUAAACCAAAUUUAUGACUCAUCACCAUUCCUGACAGUAAUGAAAAGAGAAUACGCAACUUGAAAAAUAUACUUGAGAAUAUAGUUCAUGAAAAUUACCCCAAUCUUGCUAGAGAGGUAAACAUGCAAAUUAAAGAAAUACAGAGAAUCCCAGCCAAAUGCUAUACAAAAUGACUCCAAGGCACAUAGUCAUCAGUUUCAUGAAAGUCAACACAAAAAAAUAAUCUUAAAGGCAGCUAGAGAGAAGGGGGCUAGAGAGAACCCCAUCAGGCUAGCAGAAGACCUCCCAGGAGAUACCUUACAAGGCAGAAGUGAUCUGGGGCCUAUUUUUAGUGUUCUUAAAAAAGAAAUUCCAACCAAAAAUUUUAUAACCUGCCAAACUAAGCUUCAUAAGUGAAGGAGAAAUAAAAUCCUUCUCAGACAAGGAAAUGCUGAGGCAAUACAUUUCAACUAGACCAGCCUUACAUGAGGUCCUUAAUGGAGUGCUAAAUGUGGAUUUGAAAGAAUGACACCUGUGACUGCAAAGGCACACUUAAGCACAUACCCCACAGGCACUAUAAAGCAGUUACACAAUCAUGUCUAUGUAACAACCAGCUAACAACAUGAUGACUGGAAUGAAACUGCACAUAUCAACAAUAACUUUUAAAAUAAAUGGGCUAAAUUCCCCCACUUAAAAGCCAUAGAGUGGCAGGCUAGAUAAAAAGACAUGACCAAACCAUCUGUUACCUUCAAGGGACCCAUCUCAUAUGGAAUGACAUGCACAAGCUACAAGUAAAUGGGUGGAGUAAAAUCUAUUACGCAAAUGGAAAACAAAAGGGUGCAGGGUAACUAUUCUUAUAUCAGAUAAAACAGGCUAAAAGCUAAUGAAAAUUUUAAAAACACAAUGAAGAUUAGUACAUAAUGAUAAAGGAUUCUUGUUGCAAGCCCAACAAGAAGCCUUAACUAUACUAAAUAUAUAUGCACCCAACAUUAGAGCAGCCACAUUACUAAAACAACUUCUUCUUGGCCUACAAAAAGACUCAGACAACUACACAAUAAUGGUGAGAGACUUUAACAUUCCACUGACAGUGUUAGGCACAUCAUUGAGGUAAAAACUAACAAAGAGACUCUGGACUUAAACUCAACACGUAACAAAUUGAACCUAAUAGUCAUCUCCAUAACAUUCCACCAAACACCUACCAUAUAUACAUUCUUCUCAUAAGCACAUGGAACAUAUUCUAAGAUUGACCAUGUGCUUGGUCAUAAAGCAAGAUUCAAUAAAUUCAAAAAACUAAAAUUAUACCAAGCACAUUCUUAGACCACAGUGUAAUAAAAAUAGAAAUCAAUACCAAGAAGAUCUCUCAGAACUACACAAAUAUAUGGAAAUUAAACAACUUACUACUGAAUAAUUCCUUGGUGAAUAUCAAAAUAAAGGUACAAAUAAAAAAUUAUUUGAAAGUAAUGAAAUAGCAACACAACCAUCGAAACCUCUGGGAUGCAGCUAAAGUAAGUGUUAGGAGGAAAGUUUAUGUCCCUAAAUGACUUCAUCUUGAAGCUAGAAAGAUGUUGAAUUAACAAUCUAACUUUGCAUCUAAAGAAAUUUGGAUAAAAGAACAAACCAAUCCCAAAGCAAGUAGAAGAAAAAAAACUAAAAUUAGACAAUAACUUAAUGAAAUUGAGAUACAAAAAUACAUUAAAUGGACAAAUGAAAGACUUUGUUCUUCAAAAAAUAAAUAAGAUUGAUAGACCCCUAGUGAGAUUAACAAAGAGAAAAUUCAAAUAAGCAGAAACAACAAAGGUGAUAUUACAGCUAAUUCCACAGAAACGUAAAAGAUCCUUAGAGACUACUAUGAACAACUCUAUGCCCCCAAAUCAAAACAUUUGCAUUAAAUAGAUAAAUUACUGGAAGCGCAUCAUCUCCCAAGAUUGAAUCGGGAAGAGAUUGAAACACUGACUAGAUCAACAUCAACUUCCACAAUUAAAUCAGUAAUAAAGAACCAACCACAAAAAGCUCAGGAUCAGGUAGAUUCACAGUCAAAUUCUACAAGAACUGAUACCCAUCUUAUUUUACAAUUCCAAAAAGAAACUGAGGAGGAGGGGCUCCUCCUUAAUUCAUUUAAUGAAGCCAGCAUCAGUGUGAUAUCAAAAUCUAACAGACAUAACAAAAAAAGAAAACUUCAGACCAAUAUCCCUCAUGAACAUAGAUGCAAAAAUCCUCAACAGAAUACUAGCAAAUUGAAUACAGCAGCACAUUAAACAGUUAAUACACUAUGAUGAAGUGGGCUGUAUUCCAGGCAUGCAAGCGAUGUAAUUGACUUUUUAAUAUUGAAAAUUCAAACUUGCUAAAUUUACUUAUUAGUUGUAGUAAUUAUUUUAGUAUGUGUUUAUGUUAUAAACAAUCAUAAUAUCUUCAAAUAAAGCUAGUAUUCCUUUUUUUCUAAA